rnacentral:rRNA from 1 species
AUUGAACGCUGGCGGCAUGCUUUACACAUGCAAGUCGAACGGUAACAGGUUAGGCUGACGAGUGGCGAACGGGUGAGUAAUGCAUCGGAACGUGCCCGAUCGUGGGGGAUAACGCAGCGAAAGCUGCGCUAAUACCGCAUACGAUCUGAGGAUGAAAGCGGGGGACCGUAAGGCCUCGCGCGAUCGUAGCGGCCGAUGUCAGAUUAGGUAGUUGGUGGGGUAAAGGCUCACCAAGCCAACGAUCUGUAGCUGGUCUGAGAGGACGACCAGCCACACUGGGACUGAGACACGGCCCAGACUCCUACGGGAGGCAGCAGUGGGGAAUUUUGGACAAUGGGCGAAAGCCUGAUCCAGCAAUGCCGCGUGCAGGAAGAAGGCCUUCGGGUUGUAAACUGCUUUUGUACGGAGCGAAAAGGCUCUCUCUAAUACAGGGGGCUCAUGACGGUACCGUAAGAAUAAGCACCAGCUAACUACGUGCCAGCCGCCGCAGUAA